rnacentral:lncRNA from 1 species
CGCAAUGUAAACAUAAUUUGAAAAUGGUGACCAUCAGAAAUUCUAAGUCUAGAAUUCCAAUUGAAAUGAAAGUUUAUUUUAACCUCAAAAUGAGAAUCUCCCCCUUUGUCGUUUCUUACAUAAAAAUGAAAUCACUAAUCUAUGUUUUAUGCACCUAGCUAAUAAUAAUAAUAAUAAUAAGUUAAGAAUGAAUACAAGUCCAAAUUAAAAUAGUCUUCCAUGACUAGUGCAUAUAAAAUUAAUAUGAAACCAAAUAAUAAACAAAAUAGUAGUGGUUCUCCUAUAUAGAUAUAUGAUCAUCACCUAGCUACAAGCAAUCUCGCAAAAGAGAAGAGAUAAUAAUAAUACAAGAAAACAUCAUAAAAUACAAAAUAAGAGGAAAUAUCUAAGGCCAAUAAGGGCCCCAGCAAAUCAAAUGGAAGAUAUACUCUUCCUUCUCAAUGUUAUUAUUAUUGCUCCUCCGUUUGGACACUCUAGUUGCAACAUUAGUAGUAGUAGUUGUUGUUGUUGAUGAUAAUGAUGAUGAGCCAUUUCUUCCUACCUUCUCUGGUGAUGAUGGUGCCAACAAUGUUUUCAAUGCUGUCUCCAUCUUGCACGUACUCCUCUCACCAUUCAUCUUUCUUUAUUAAUUUGAUAUGGCUAGUUCCGAUCCAAAGCUUAACUCGCGGGAUGCUAAAG